rnacentral:lncRNA from 1 species
CCCAUCCUUGAAAGCUUCAAUCAAGACUUCAUAAAAGACCAGGCCCCCUUGUUAGUUUACAAAAAAAGGGAGCUUCGGAAAUGGAAGUGGAGUCUGUCUUGCUUGCUUUGCUGUUGAUAAAUGCCCUUACGUUUUCGCAGCUUAAUCUGGCAGUUGAGGCGGCUGAGUCUGUUCCUCUAUCACCAUCGGAUGAUUUCUCGAAAGAGUUGAAAGCUUUAUCUAGGAGGAGUCGGCGAAUAACUCCACCAUCACCCAGGAUUAAUGCUCCUGUUCACUUCAAAAGCCCUCCUCCAUCACCUCGACCUCCUCCGCCGCCACGGUCACCACCACCUCCAUGUCUGUGGCGUCCACCUACUGCGUUUGGAUAAGACGAUUGUUUCCCAGGUUACACACAGUUGAUGAAGCUCUCAUGUCAUCAGCUUUUGUUUGUAAAUUGUAAAACUUUAAAGUGCUUGUAUGUUAGCAGCAAAUACCAACUUUGUUUAGCUCUGAUAAUAAUUAAAUUUGUAAUGAUAAAAAUAAUAAUAUGUUAAAUAUAAAAAUGAAUAAAUGUAUGCAUCACUUUCACUUAAACACUCUUUAAGAAAUUGUUUAAUAAGUAUCCCUUGUCUUCCCUUCCCAUCUCUUUGAAGUCUCCCGACCAUCUCUAUAUGUAGCAUAAAUGAUGAGCAGCCCUCCAUCAACGAGGACCCGGGUCCUCAAAGGCCAACUCAAAAAAGCAUCUCAAUCUAAGAGAGGAGGGUAGCCUUUUCAGUGCAGUGCUUUCAGGGUUGAAUGAGCAUCGAGGUCUUUCGAGAUUGGGGUUUUCUCGUAGGAAAAAAAUGAAAAAAUCAUCUUGAUAAUAGUCCUUUUAUAGAUCGGGUGGACAAAGGAAUAGCAAGCCUUUGGAAGGAAGAAAAAGCUAACAUAUGGACGAAGAUCGGGUGAAUGAGAUAAUUCCCAGAUUCAUUUCAAAAACCUCUAGAUUAGCCUUGGCCGAACACAGGUAAACCGUCCAGACCCCACUCAAACCAUAGUCCCCUCAAAGGCCAACUCAAAAACAACAAUCUCUACGUCUAUGGAGCCUGGACUGCAGAAACUGAGAAACCUCCAAUUCCAAGCUCCCUGGUUCGGUGCAACUUGGACUUUCUGGGAAGGGCAUUAAAUACCCAACCAACAUAUUUAUUUUGGCCACUUCACUGUAGAGGGAUCAUGGGUCGAGUUUGUGCCGGGUUCAGAUAAAAUUUUAGGCCCGUUUUAUUAGCCCGGAUCUGACUCGGUCUGGCCCAAAAUAUAGAUAUAAAAAUUUAUCUAAACUUGGCCCGAAAAAAUUAUUAAGCCCGAGCCUGACUCGGCCUAUAUUAAUUUUUUUAACUUAUUUCAUUAAAUAAAAAAUUUAAAACAAAUAUUAAAACAAAAAACAAAUAAAAAAUGAGACUAAAACAAUUCUUAAAACAAUACACAAAUUGAAAAUAUAAUAAAAAGUGAUUAUAUUAAAAUUGAAACAAAUUAGAACUAAAAUAAUAACUAAAUUAAUAAUAAAACAAAAGUAUAUUUGAUUAAAUAUAAAAUAUAUAUAUUUAAUAUAUAAUUCGUGCCAAGCCGGGCCGGGUCUAGCCCAAAAAAAUUUUACCUAAGGCUUAGCCCGUUUUCUAAACGGACCUCAUUUUUUUGGCCUAAACUUAUAUUUUGAACAUAUAUUUUUAUCUAAAUCUUUUUAUUUUUCAAGUAGACUAUCGGACCAGGCUAAAUAACUUAACCCAUGAUCACUUCUACUCCACUUCAGUAAUCAUUUGACUGCAGCCAAACCAAUAUCAAGUUGAUGGGACUGGGGGUCAAAAUUCAUGCACCAAGCAAUCUACGCUGCUAGACCCAAGACCAUUCUUCAGCUUGAUGAGCCCAAUGACCAGAGCCAAUGCUCUACGACUAGCUCCAUGAAACCCAAAAUGCAGCAAGAGACUCAUUGUAACGCCCCACUUUUGUUGUGUUUAGAUUGUUAAAGUAUGUUAAAUAAUUUAAUCUGGUAUGUGGUUAAGCGUCUUAAAUGUUUGUUUUAGGUCUUGACUUUAAUUCUUUUAUUUUGGAUUUUUUAUUAAUUUUGAUGUUAUGUUAAGCUUGACUUUUUAGGCUUAUCUUUUUAUUUUAUUAGAUUGUUGAUAAGGAUGAGCUUAUUAGUCUAGUAAACCGUCCAUUAUUCUCUCACCCCCUUUCACCUUUUUUCUCCCUGUUAUUGUUUUCUAUUUGGUUCUUUCCUCUCUUUUUUCUUUUUUUCCUCUUUGAGCUUUUUUCUUUUCUUUUGCUUUGAAUCUCCGAUUUCGAUUAUAAUCCAAAGAUAACGUAAGUUUUGUUAAAUUAUUUUGUUGUUAUUUUGGUGUUAAUUCGUUGUGCAAGGGUGAAAUUAUUAGUUUAAUCCUUUUAAUAUAUUAUGAUAAAUAUUCUAUUGAUUCUCUUAUCAGAUUAAAGGGAUGUGAAUCGAAACCCUAAAAUUUUUGGACUAUUUAUUUUAUAAUUUUAAAUGAUAAAAAUAUUAUAUUUUUAUAAAGAUAUAUACUAUUCAAAUGAUGAAAUUAUAUUUUAUUUUAUAAAAUUAAAUUUUAAUUUUAACAUUCUUAAAAAUAUUUUCUACCUUCCCCUCUUCCCUUACCGAUCAUAAACAUGGACAUCAAUCCUAAACAUGGACAUCAUAUGGCGAACAAAAUUUAUAUAAAUUUAAAAUUUUUUAAACACGGUUAUGUUUUUCUCCAGGUUUGUCCUAACCUCACUUGGCACCUUUUCCUCUUACAUAUCUUGAAAUAAGGGAUGUAAAAAAUAUGAAAAAAUUGCAACAAAUAGUUUUGAUAGUAUGCUCCGAGUGUAGCAUUUGGUGUCUGCUGGUUAUUAGUGUUUUCUUGUGUGUGUCGACUGUUGGUGUUUCUUAUGGAGGAGGGGUUAGCAGAUCUGCGUUUAACGGAGGAAGAAGACAAUAAGGAGUUGGAAGCUUGGGAGAUUGAACAGAAUAAGGAGAUAGAAGACUCUUUUUCGGAGUUGUGCUUGGUAGGGUGUUUUCUAACAGCAACUCCGAUAAAUUUUUAGGCUAUGCGGACUGUGAUGGCAAAUCUGUGGCAUUCUUUGGGGGGAGUUUCCAUUGCAGAUGUGGGUGAGAAAAGGUUUGUCUUUCAAUUUUAUUGUGAAAUGGAUUUUGAUAGGGUGGUGAAGGGCGCUCCUUGUACUUUUAACAACCAUUUACUUGUUUUUCAUCACUUAAAACAAGGCAAAGAUCCCUUGGAAGUGGAUUUAUUAUAUACCGAGUUCUGGGUUCAAAUUUAUAAUCUGCCACCUAGUUUCUUUACGGAAGCUAUUGCUAAAUAGUUUGGAGAUUUUAUUAGAGCCUUUGUGGAGUACGAUGUCAAAGCGAUUAUGGAGGGAUUAAGAAAUUAUAUGCGGAUUAGAGUUAAAGUUGAUAUCCGGCAAAGUCUGAAGAGAAGAAAGAAACUUAUUAUGGCAAAAAAAGAGUUCUUUACUAAUUUCAAAUAUGAAAGGUUGUCAACAUUUUGUUUUCUGUGUGGCAAGCUCGGACAUAGUGAGAAUUACUGUCCUAUACGAAUGGUGACAGGGAGAAAGGAGCUUCCUCUUGAAUGGGAUAUCUCGCUCAAAGCUCCUCCACGUAGGGCGGCGACGGUAGGCAGUAUUUGGUUAAGGGAACCAACUGAAAUUUGGGGAGUGUAUCAGGGAAUUUCUAAAAAUGAUGAAGGCAAACAAGGAAAGAAUCUGGGGGAAUUAAAUCUAAUGAGGAAUAAUGGAACGAAUUUGGGGUUGAAUUUAUAUGAAAAAUCAAAACAGAUUGUGAAUGAGGAGUUGGUGUUGAUGGAAGUUGGGUCUACUAAAGAGGAUCGGCCCAUUAUUGGAGGAGAGGGGAAAAAGAGGCCUAGACCCAAUAAUAUUCAAAAUGCCUCUACCACCGAUGAUAUGAUGUGGAAAAAUGGGUUAAUGGAGGAUGUUAAUCAAAUCAACCAUACGGCUGAACCUGCAGGGCAGGUCAACCGAGCAUUAUGAAAAUAUUAAGUUGGAACGUCCGUGGGCUGGAGAACCCACGGUCUGUUCAGAAAAUUCAGCAUGUGCUGAAAAAGUACUGUCCCCAAGUUUAUUUUUUUAUGGAGACAAAAGUAGAGAAAUCGAGAAUGGAAAGGAUAAGAAAGAAAUUUGGUUUUGCGAAUGGGGUGGAUAUUUCAGCUCAAGGAUCACGAGGGGGUCUUUCUUUGAGUUGGUGUAGUUCGAUGGAUGUUACCAUCUCAAGUUAUUCUGGGAAUCACAUUGAUGCAGUUAUUGUUAAUAGUGAUGGGGCGACAAAGUGGAGACUAACAGGGUUUUACGGUAUUCCAGAUUAUCAGUGGAGAGAUAUUUCUUGGGACUUGCUAAAGCGGCUGAGCACGAACAAUGAAUUGCCUUUGGUUGUUGUAGGGAUUUUAAUGAGAUUUUAUUUAGUUCUGAGAAACAAGGAGGUCGAUUGAGGGAAGCAAGGCAAAUGGAGGCUUUUCGAUCAGCUUUGGAAGAUUGUGAGCUGGUGGAUAUAGGGUAUUGCGGCCGAUGGUACACGUGGGAAAAGGGGAAUUUUGAGGCAAAUAAUAUAAUAGAGCGGCUUGAUAGGGGAGUGGCUACUUUGGGUUGGACUGAGAUGUUUCCGUUCUCCCGGCUCCUUCACAUUAAUAAUUCAACUUCUGAUCAUUGUCCUCUAUUGUUGGAUACGGAAUUUUCAACAAGUAAUGGUAAUUCUUCAAAUUCAGGGUGUUUAUUUCGCUUUGAAACUGCUUGGUUGUUAGAAGAUUCUUGUCAUGAGUAGGUUAGAUCUUUGUGGGACUCCAAUAAAAAUGUGUUAGUGCCUGAAAGAUUAACACUGAUGGGUGAGGGGCUCCGAAGAUGGGCUAGCCAUUUAAAGAAUGAGAGGGGUGCGAAUAUGAAGAAGCUGUCAGACUAAUUAAAUAAACUGUCUGAGGAAGAUCCUUCAGAUGACAUUCUCGAGGCUAUGAUUAAGACUAAAUUAGAGCUGAAUCUCGAGAUUGAUAAGGAAGAGCUCUAUUGGGAGCAAAGGGCUAGAUCGAAUUGGUUAAGGUAUGAGGAUCGGAACACUAGUUUUUUCCAUAAUCUUGCCUCAAGUAGACGUCGUAAAAAUAAGAUCGCUGGGCUGAAGGACCAAAAUGGGUCCAUCAAAGAUACGGACGAAGAUCUUAUGCGAAUUGCAACCAGUUAUUUUAAAGGACGGUUUGCGAGUGAGGGAAGUAGAGGAGCUCAAAAAUUUUUUGAAGGGGUCCAAAAAAUGAUAACAAUUGAGAUGAAUAGGAUGUUGCUGGAUACUUUCCGGGAGGAUGAAGUUAGGAGGGUGGUCAAGGAGAUGGGGGGAAAUAAAGCUCCCAGUUUUGAUGGCUUCCAUGCAGUGUUUUUUCAAAUAUUUUGGGCGAUUGUAGGCAAGGAUGUUACAAGCUUUUGCCUUAGAGUACUUAAUAGAGAACAACAGCUGAAUGAGGUUAAUUUUACAACGAUUGUUUUAAUCCCUAAAGUCUCAACGCCAGAUUGUAUGACAGAUUUUCGGCCCAUAAACUUAUGUACGGUGCUUUAUAAAAUUAUAGCGAAAGUCAUUGCUAACAGAUUUAAGAGAGUGUUAGAUGGUUGUAUUGAUGAAGCUCAAUGAGCGUUUGUCCCUGGUCGGCUUAUUACGGAUAAUGUCCUUACGGCUUAUGAAAUUAUACACACUUUUAAGAAUAGAAGAAAAUGGAAGAAGGGUUUUUUUGCUUUAAAGCUUGAUAUGAGUAAAGCAUACGACAGAGUUGAAUGGGGAUUUGUCACAGGUAUGAUGAGGAGUAUGGGGUUUGAUGAUAAAUGGGUGGAGUUGAUAAAUCAUUGUAUUUCUUCGGUCUCUUAUGCUGUUACGAUUAACAGAAGCUUGAGUGAGCCUUUUCAACCGAAACGGGGACUCAGACAAGGGGAUCCGUUGAGUCCCUAUUUGUUUCUUAUUUGUACUGAAGGUUUUUCAACAUUACUUAAACUAGCCAAGAGGGAUGGUCUUAUUCAAGGCGCACGUGUUUGUCGGGGGGCCCGAGGGUAACUCUUUUGUUUUUCGCGGAUGAUUACAUUAUCUUUGGAGAAGCAAAUGAGGAUGGCUGCAGGAUAAUGAAGGGAUUUCUUGAUGACUAUGAAAAAGCUUCAGGUCAAAAGAUUAAUUUGGACAAGUCUCAAAUUUUCUUUAGUUCUAACUAUUCUGAAGAAACUAGAGAGCUGUUGACAAAUUAUUUGGGUGUUAGGUCCGUAACGAGCAUGGAAAAGUAUUUGGGUCUGCCUACAAUGGUGGGGAGGAAGAAGAAUGAGGCUUUCCAAAGAUUGUGUGAUAGGCUGAGAACAAGAAUUGAUGGGUGGGGGAGUCGAAUAUUGUCUCAAGGGGGCAAAGAUGUCUUCAUCAAAGCAGUAUUACAGGCCAUACCGAUUUUUUUAAUGUCUUGUUUUUUGCUUCCAAAGUCAUUAUGUGCUGAAAUGGAAAAGAUUAUGAAUCGAUUUUGGUGGGGAAAAGGAGGUAAUAGGCAUGGUUUGCACUGGUCCUGCUGGACUGAUUUAUGUCAGGCUAAAGAGAAUGGGGGUCUAGAGAGAUUACCUGCUGUUAGAGAGGUGGAUAUCGAUCGAUGGAAACCCCCACAAGCUUCAUGGGUAAAAUUGAAUUUUGAUGCAGCCUACAAAGUUCAAUCGAAUAAGUCCCGUUCGGGGUUCAUCAUUAGAAACGAGAAAGGGGAAGUUAUGGGUAGUGGGAUUACUCUUCACUCCAACGUUUUGGAUGCGGGUUUGGCUGAAGCUUUAGCUUGCUAUCAAGGUCUCCUCUUUGCCAAAGAAAUGGGGUUAACAAAAGUAGAGGUUGAAGGAGAUGCACGGGUAGUAAUUGAGAAAAUCAAUCAGGAAGAAAAUGGUAGAGCACAUUUGGACUCGAUUAUAGAAGACAUCAAAGCAUUUGAAAGGUUUUUUCAUCAGAUUAGCGUUAAACAUGUUAGAAGAGAGGUUAAUCGAGUGGCUCAUCUCAUUGCUAGGGAGGGUUACAGUAGAUUAGAAAAUACCUUUUGGAUGGAAGACAUUCCGGCGGUGGCGAAAGAGCUGGUGGCUACUGAAGAGACGAGCAACGUUUUGUAAUCGACAGAAGGUUUUGUUCAAGGGUGUUUGGACUGGGCUGAUAAAUUCAUUGAAAGCCAUGCUUUAGUCACUAGAGAGAUUUACAUGGUGGUCUGGAGCUUUGUUUUACCGGGUUUCCACUUUACUUUUUCUUUUCUAUUGUUGUUUUUUUCAGAUGUUUUUGGUUUCUUUAACUAUUUUGAUUGGGUUUUGUUAGGUUUUAAUGGAAAUCACGGUUUUUAAUCAAAAAAAAUAUGAAAAAAUUGUUCUCUUCAAACUGCAUGCCGUUAAAUUUGGAAGUGCUUGAGGUUUCAUUACGUGUCCAACUGGAGGAAAUAAUAGCAUUAGAUUUUGAAUGGGACAGAAGAGGAAUGCCUACCAUGGAAUUUUGCCUUCUAAAAUUAAACAUACUUGUACUGGAAUGCCUACCUGAAUUGAAAAGUAUUUGCAAUGUUGAUGCAGUGGUGGUUUGUGAAUCCCUUAGAUGGAUUGAUAUAAUAGAUUGUCGGAAAUUAAAAAGGGUGCCUUUUAGUCUUCCCCAAAUCCGAUCAUCUUCACCAACUCUCAUUUUCUAUUUAUGUAGCGAUAGAGGAGUGGUGGAAAUCUGUGAGUAACAUUGGCAUUACUUAUAUUUUCUUGUUUCUAGGCAACUUUGAUGAAUGCAAUUGCAAGCUGUCUUCUUUAUUUGAAUCAAACCUCAUUUCUUUUUUGGUUGUAAUAAGCUUUGGUUAUUGUAUUUUGAUGCUUGUUUAUUGUGUCUUCCUUUUCCAUUCAAUACUUUUCCUUCGUAAUAUUCUAUAUCAACAAGACGAUAUACAUAUUAGAAAAAUUGAGAUAUUUCAAAGGAAUCAAAUAUCAUAUUCUUAAAGAAAGAUUUUGAGAUAUUUGUUUAUAAAUCUUUAUACUUCAUGAGUUAGAGGGAAUCAAGUUGAGAAGGUAGAUUUGUUCAUUAGAUUCAAAAAGUUAUUGUAAUAGAUUUUUGAACCUUUUAGUUUUUAAAAAUAUUUUUUAUUAGAUUUUUUAGAGUCCAAGAAAAAUAAACUUUUUAACUAAUAAAACUUAUAUUUAUCCAAGUUAUAAAUAACUUAAUCGAUUGAAAUUAUUUUUAGUUAAAUCCAAAUUCAUUGAACUAUUUUCAAACUAUUUCACUUACCUUUGCUAUUUUUAGCCAAUAAAAUUCUUAUAUAUAUGGUUGGAAGCCAAUGCAACUUUUGGAUAAAAGCCAAAUUUAUCCUUUAAAAGAUUUUUUUUUUGGAAGAUUCUAGAAUAUAAAAUAAAGAAAUAGGAUAUUAUCUAUAAGACUAGAUAUUAUAUAUGAAUAUUCUAGUUAUUAAAUAUUUGUAAAAUUAAUAGUAAGGAUAUUGACAUGUAUCAACAAUCCAACGGCCACUAAACUCUAUAAAUAGGGGUAAAGGCUUUCAUUCUUGUAAUGAUGUAAGAGAGAAGUGUGUAUCAUAUUAUAAUUGUAUUGUGUAUUAAUAAGAGUGUUUUCUUCUUUUGUAAUUGUAAGUCUCGGUUAAACCUUAAGUUUCUAAGCACUUAGUGCACUUGGAUUAGCUUUUAUAUACAGUGCACUAAUAAGUUAGAAAAUAAAAGAUUAACCGACUUCAGAAAUUUAGUGUAGCAUUAGUUGUAGGUCCGGCGAAAUAUCAUUAAAGACAGUAUCCAACACGUCUCAAGUUAUUCAACUUUUAUUUUUUAUUCUUUAAAUUGAAUAUUUACAAGAAUACAUACCAACACUUUUAAUUCUUUGAUUUCUAUUCAUAUAUAUUUAUAUCAUCCAUAUUUAUUCAUACAUUCAAAGUUGGGAAAGCAGUUGUGAUUUUGUGAGCUUGGAGUCUUAAUUUAAUCCCAACAAAACCUUAACAAAUCAUCAGCAAAUGAGAUUCAGCUACAAUCGAUUGGAUGAUCAAAGAAUAAAAAUUGUUUCUAUAGUUAUACAUCGUAUCGUGAAGAUUCGAGAAUCCUAAAGGAAUAAUUGAUAAGGGAUUAGAUUGGAAAGGGAUUAAUAGAGGAUAUGGGUAACAUGGAAGCAAACUUUGACAACUGUCAGACUAUACUAAGAACAUUAGUUGAUAAUUGAUUGUUAGAAAAUGUAGGAAAUGGAAGAGUGAAAAUGCAUGAUUUUGUAAUAGAUAUGGCUAAACUAAUCACCAAUGAGUUAUAUGAAUCAUGAAUUAACAUUGCAACUUUAACCUAUGUAUAAUUUAGCUCCAACAUUUAUAUUUUUUUAUUAACUAAAAUGAUACAAUAAAUCAAAAACAAUCAAAACUUAAAUUAAUUAAAAUUAACUUUGUAUUUUUUAUUCUUUAAAGACAGUAUCCAACACGUCUCUAGUUAUUCAACUUGUAUUUUUUAUUCUUUAAAUUGAAUAUUUACAAGAAUACAUACCAACACUUUUAAUUCUUUGAUUUAUAUUCAUAUAUAUUUAUAUCAUCCAUAUUUAUUCAUACAUUCAAAGUUGGGAGAGCUGUUGUGAUUUCAUGAGCUUGGAGUAUUAAUUUAAUCCCAACAAAACCUUAACAAAUCAUCAGCAAAUGAGAUUCAGUUACAACUGAUUGGAUGAUCAAAGAAUAAAAAUUGUUUCUAUAGUUACGCACUGUAUCGUGAAGAUUCGAGAAUUCUAAAGGAAUAAUUGAUAAGGGAUUAGAUUGGAAAGGGAUUAAUAGAGGAUGUGGGUAACAUGGAAGCAAACUUUGCCAAGUGUCAGACUAUCCUAAGAACAUUAGUUGAUAGUUGAUUGUUAGAAAAUGUAGGAAAUGGAAGAGUGAAAAUGCAUGAUUUUGUAAUAGAUAUGGCUAAACUAAUCACCAAUGAGGUUUAUGAAUCAUGAAUUAAUAUUGCAACUUUAACCUAUGUAUAAUCAAGCUCCAACAUUUAUAAUUUUUUAUUAACUAAAAUGAUACAAUAAAUCAAAAACAAUCAAAACUUAAAAUAAUUCGAAUUUAAUAAAAAUCAAAAUUAAAAUUAACUUUGUUGAUAUGGUAAUGCAACUAGAAGACAUGGGGAAGGACAUGGUUGUGAUUAUGGAGGUUGGUUCAUCCAGUUGGGAUAGAGAGCCAAAUACUACAAAGAGUGAGAAUGAAGAGAUAUGCAAACAAAGUGUUGAGGGGAACUUUUUUCAUCGUUCUUAGAAGUAUUUAUUGACGGGGUCCUGCAACAGCCCGAUUUUGGGUCUAGUCGGAACAGUAAUUUCAGGACCACAAAUUCGACGAGAAAAAAUCUAAUCGCCUAAAUUUUCAGGGGUGUCGGAACGGUGAUUCGAGAUCACUGAAUCCGACAAGUAAGUAAAAAAUAUUAUUAAUUUAGUGAGUAUAAGUUAAAUGUGAAGUUAAGAAAAUUUUUGAAAUAGUGAAUAGUGCACUAGAAAUAAAUAUUAAAAUAAUUAGAAUAAAAAACGAGGUAUCGAGACCUCAGAGAUUUUAAACCGAGCCAUAAAUGUUUAUAAAAAUAUUUAUGGAGUGUUAAAAAGUUAGUAUUAAAGUUUCGUUAAGAAAUUUUAAAGUUUCGAUAAUUAAUUGAACAAAAAGGACUAAAUUGUAACAAAUCCAAAAUUAUGGUAAAUGAUUAAAUAGCUUAAAUGAUAAAAGGAAGAGGGCUUAAAAGGAAAAUAGACUCAAUGUCUAUUUGGGCUGGACGGCAAAGGCAUGAAAUCAUCAAGAAUGUACGAAGAAUUAAGGGCAAAAUUGGAAUAUUGCAAAAUUACUUAAUAAAGCUAGGAUCAAAGUGGAAUUAUCGAGAUUUCUCUUUAUUUUUCUGCAUUCUCAUCAGCUAAAACAGCAUAGAAGGGUUUUCUUAAGCUGGUUUUUCAUAUUUUUACUGCAAGUAAGUUCAAUUCUUGAUUAUUUCUUGAAAUUGUUGUGUUUUUGUGACUUUUACAACUAGGCCCACUUGUUGAAUUCAUUAGAUUUUGAUUUUAUGAAAGAAGUUGAAAGUUGCUAUGAAUAUGUGCUGGAAGUAUAUGAUGAUUUAGAAUGGAAUUAGAGCUAUCCUCAGAACACUAGUAGAUAAUUGUUUGUUAGAAAAUGUAGGAAAUGAAAGAGUGAAAAUGCAUGAUCUUGUUAGAGAUUUGGCUAAACUUAUCACUCAUAAGUUGUAUGAAUCAUGAAUUAACAUUGCAACUUUAACACAUGUAUUGUUAAGCUCCAACAUUUAUAUUUUAGAUCAAUUAAAAUCAUACAAUAAAAAACAACCAAUCAAAAUUUAAAAUAAUUCAAAUUUAAUAAAAAUAAAACCUAAAAUUAACUUUAUUGAUAUAGAAAUACAAUAAAGAGGAGAUAUGGGAAAGGACAUGGUGGUGAUUUUGGAGGUUGAUUUACCCACUUGAGAGCGGAGAGCUAAGGACUGCAAAGAGUGAGAUUGAAGAGUGCAUAUAGGCAAAAUGUUGAGGGUAAGUUGAUAGAGUAUAUGUUUGUAUGUUUGGAGAGUCAAUCAUUUCUUCAUCGUUCUUGGGGGUAUUUAUUGGAGAGGGUCUUGUGAAGGUUGUUAACAUGCUAAAUUUGCCAUCUAACCAUCAUUACGGAACGUGUGGGGAGGAUGUCUAUGAUGGGAUGAGAAUGCCUGUGAUGAGACAGAUCUUGUUAUUCAUUAUAAUACAAUAGUGCAGAGUAGUUGAGCUCACACGGGAGUUGGUAACCAACAAUAUCACGUUUUUAACAAAAGGCCAAGGGUUCAAAGUAAUGAGUAGUUCUUGUUUGUCUAGAUAGUUAGGACGAGAGAUGAAACUUGGGGCAGCCUUCCAAUUGGUGGUUGGCAAAUUUGUUGCCUAGGUGACCUUCUAACUUGUCACGUGUCCUUAUUCAAGUAGGAGUAUAAUAAACUCAAUUUUUUAAAGAUGUAAAUUAGUUCAAUCUAAGUUAAACAAGUUAAUUAUAAAAAUUAAUUCACAAAACAUUUAUGUUUUAGGAUUAUUUCCCAAGAUAUUUAUGUUUCUUUUUCUUUUUGAAAGGUACUCAGAUGGCCUAUCAAUAAGAACUUUUUGAACUUUAAAUCCUAAUCUAUUUUUUUUAGACACUAAACUUUAAAUUAAAAUAUUUAAUUAACUUUUAAAGAGCCCACUUUUAAAACAAAAAAGCCUAUGAAAUAUUGAAACCUACGCAACAACCCUUUGAAAUAUAAUAAAAAGCCAUGACAUCACAUGCAUACAAAACUUAUAUAAAUUUAAAAUUUUUAAACACAGUUACGAAGUCAUAAAAAUACAAACAGUCUUUUAAUUAAAUAUGGUAGGUGCAUUAAUUAAAUCUCAAUGCCCACCGAAGUUGACUUAAAGGAGUUGAUAUAUAGGAUUGAUAAAUCAGUUUUUAUGGGCUAUUUUACCAAUCUAGCCUAAAAAAAUUUGAUAUUUACAAAAAUGACAUUGAUUCAAAAACAUUUACUAAAAUAACCUGAAAUGUACAGUAAAAUUAAGUUAUGAGAAAUAGAUAGCCGGCACCACUUUUUUCUAUUAAAAAAAUAAUUUUUGAGGUUUUAGACACUAGAUAUGUAACACCCCCUAACCCUAAACCGUCGCCGGAACAGGGUUAUGAGAUAUUACCGGACAUAUCAAAUAAUUUACAAAUAAUUCUUAAAUAAAUAACCAACAUAUUAUAAUAAUUCAAAAAUUCAUAUAAAUUUUACUAAUUGAUUUCAUUCAUUUUUUUUAUAAAAAUUUCGGCAUCAUUUCUGCUUAUUUUUACAUAAAACCCCCUGCAAAAUUUCAAAACAUAACUAACCCAAUUCCAAUAUUUCAAUCAAGGCAUUUAUAUACUUAAACCUUACUUGACAUAUUGACAUAACAACUUAAUUAAUAAAAAUCCUAUUAUCAUUUCUAAUUAACUCAUAAAACUAAUCAAGUCAUUUCAAUUCGAGACCAAUGCCAUAAAAGACUUCUACUAUUUUACUAAUAUAAUCAUCAAAACACAUAAUAUCUUACUUUACAACAAAACUAUAUAACAUACCAAAAUAACUAUUAUAAUUCUUAUGUACAUGCCACUUUCAUUUAAUGAAGAAAACAUCAUCGAAAUCUCUAUGCAGGAGUUGAGAUUGACCUGGAUGCUAAAUCGAGACUCAGACCCCUUUUUCAACCCGCGCACAGAAACAACCAUACGCUGAGUAUUUUACACUCAGUGGUAUUACCAUAAUUCAAAUUAUAAUAGCAAUAAAGAAUUAUAAUUACGAAGCAUGUAACUAUCCGAUUUCUUAAAUAUCAAUUAAUUCAUAAACUUUCAUUAUUUAACAAUAGCAAUACAAUUUUUUUUAGCUAUUCUUCAUUCUCAAUCACAUAUCACAUGUAGCAAUUUCAAUCACUACAUAAACAUUAAAUUCAUGCAUUUUAUUUUCAAUAUCAAUUUCAAUCUGAAAUUUUAAAUUUUCUCAUAUUCAAUACCACAAUCGAUCAAAUUCAUUUAAUUUUCUCAUUUCAAUUAUUCACCCUAUUAACAAUCUGGACUUUGACGGAUACAUGGAUUCCAACCCAAACACACUAGUACAGCACAUUGUGCCUAAAACGGUACAUAGUACCUGAUCAGUAUACGACACAUAAGUGCCUGAAACGACACACGAGGUGCCUGAUACGACACAUAAAGUGCCUGAUCGGCAAAGCCGAUAAAUCCCGUACUCUUCCAAAUCCUAUGGCAUGCCAACUAUAUCCGACUUAGCCCGACUAGUUAAUAGGGUAUUCAAAUUCUCAAUUCUCUUUGAUUUUCAAUUCAAGAUCACUUUUCCACUUUCUAAUCAAUUAACAAUUUAAUAUCAAUACAUAUUUCAAAUAAUCACAUAUAAUCAUAUUUCAAUUCAAUUCAAACCACUUUUCAAUCAUUACACAAUUCACAUAUUCACACAUAUUCAUAAAUUAAUUCACUUUAUUUAAUUCAUUUUUUAAAUCCAUUUUUUAAUCAAAUUCAAAUCACUAAAUACUUUUUAAUCAAUAUACAUUUCAAAUACUCACAUAUUUCCAUCAUUCAAUUUAAUUUGAUUCAAUUCAAGUCACUAUUAUCAUUCCAAUUGCUUACCUAAUUUUACUUACCAUGCAUUUUAAUUAAAAUAUAACAAUUAAUAAUAAAUAGAUUUGAAUUAUAGUAAUACAAACCCGAAUUUGCUCGAUUAUUCCUCAACGACCUUCUUCUUCCCUUUUUGUGGCGAUACCUCGAAUUAUUUAUUAGCUACGAAAAUUAAAUAAUUAAAUAAUUAAUUACAGCACAAAUUUUACAAUAAAAAUAAAAUUUCUAUCAAAUUUUAUACUUUAAUUCCAAUUUAAUCCUAACUAGAUUUAUCUACUUUUCUAAUCUAAUUCAUACUCUAUUUCUAUUCAAAUUUCUUAUAAACUCAAAUUUAUCUACUAAUUUUCAGCAUUUUUCACUAAUUUUGAAUUUUCCUCAAUUUAAUCCCUAAAAUUCAAAACUUAUAGUUUAGUUUACAAUUCAAUCCUUUAUUCAAUUCCAAAUAAAAUUUCUAUUAAAUAAAUCCUCAAUUCCAUCAUUUAUUCAACAUAAACCCUACUCAAAAAUCUAUUAACUUUCAAAUUUUCAACUUAAAUCCAAGAGUAUUUCAUUCUAGGAUUCCAAAAACAUCAAAUUUAUGAGAAAAGGACUUGAUUUAGUUUACCUAUUAAACUUCAAGCUUCAAAAUCUCAAUUUUCCCCCUUUCUUUUCUUUCCCUUUUCUUCCCCUGUUUUCGUCUCUUUCUCUGUUUCUUUUCUGUUCUUCUUCUCUUUUUCUGUUCUUUUAUUUCAUUUGUUUUCUUUUACUUUUUGUUAUAAUAAUAUAAUAUAUAAUAAUUAGUAUAAAUAUCUUUUACCACACAUGUCAUAUUCAUAACCAUACAUUUGUCUUAAUUUAUUUCACAAUAUAAUAAUAUAGAAUAAUUUAUGCCGCCUCAAAUUUGGCAAUUAGCAUAAUUGCCCAUUUGACCCCUAUUAUUUUCCUUUAAUCUAUAAUUAAACUUUCACUUCUAUUAUAAUUUAAUCCUUUUUACUAAUUACUGUUAAUUAGACUAAAUUCACCUAAUUAAUACCUAAUUAAGCACUAAAUUAAACUCAUGAUUACUUCUAAUAAUUAUUUUCGAACUCAAUUUACUAAGACGGAGGCCCGAUAUUAUACUUUUCCGAUGCCCGUGAAUUUUUGGGUCAUUACAAGAUGGUUGGCACCAUGUAUUUUUUUUCAAAAAAAAUUUUUUUGGGUACUGGCACACUGAUGGCCGGCACCCCUUUAUCUGAUUAAAAAAAUAUUUUUUUGGGGGAAAGUGGUGCCGGCCAACAAAGGGCCAAAAUCACCCAACAAAAAAAAUUGGAAAUAUUUCAACAUAACCCCUCCUUGUUUUCUCAUCUUUUUUAUUUCCCAAAUUUAAUUACAUAUUUUAUAUUUUAAAACAAUAUUGAACUACUUAUCAUAUUUUUUAAUUAUUAUUGCAUCACUCAAAUUAUUAUUAAAUUUAAAAACUAAUUUAAAAUAUAUUGAACUACAUAUUUUAUAAAAUUUAAAAUUUUCAUGAUUGAAUUUUCCAUCUUUUGAAUUUCAUAUUUUUUAAAAAUUUUUGUUUUUAUUUUGUUAAAUGUAACUUGAUUGUUGUUAAACUCAAGUAUAAAUAAUAAAUUAAGCCUAAAAAAAAUAUAUUUAUUUUUAAAAAUAUUUAUUAAUUUUAAUAUUGAAUUUUAUAAUUGUGAAAAUAUAUUAAAAUGCUAAAUACAAUAUCCAAAAUGACAGUAAUUGAUACUAAACUAGUUAAUUUUCAAAUCAAUAAUUUAAAAUUAAUUUAAAUUUAAUAUGCACAAUUAAAUUAUAUGUUUUUUUUAUAAAAUUAGAAUAUGCUUUUAUGAUUUUCAUCCUUUAUAAUAAUUCAAAUAAAUAUUGCUAAAUUAUUUUUUAUUUUAAAAAAUAAUGAGUAAUAUAUUUAUAAAAUAUGUAGUUCAAUAUAUUUUAAAUUAAUUUUUAAAUUUAAUAAUAAUGUGAGUGAUGCAAUACUAAUUAAAAAACAUGAUCAUAUUAUUUUAAAAUAUAAAAUAUGUAAUUAAACUUGGGAAAUAAAAAAGAUGAGAAAACAAGGAGGGGUUAUGUUGCAAUAUUCCCAUUUUUUUUGUUGGGUGAUUUUGGCCCUUUGUUGGCCCACACCACUUUCCCCCAAAAAAUAUUUUUUAAUCAGAUAAAAAGGGUAUCGGCCAUAAGUGUGCUAGCAUCCAAAAAAAAAUUGAAAAAAAAGACAUGGUGCCAGCCAUCUAGUGUCCAAAACCUCAAAAAUUAUUUUUUAAUAGAAAAAAGUGGUGCCGGCCAUCUAUUUCCCAUAACCUAAUUUUACUGUUUAUUUCAAGUCAUUUUGGUGAAUGUUUUUGAAUCAGGGUCAUUUUUAUAAAUAUCAAAUUUUUUUAGGUUAGAUUGGUAAAAUAGCCGUUUUUAUAAUAUCAUCAUUCAUUUUAUUAUUAAAAAUUAAUAAGAUACUUUUAAAAAUUAUGGUUUAUAUAUUUUUUAUAUUAGAAAAUUUUGAUAAUUUAUUUUUUAUUUUACAAACUACUUUAAAAAAUUAAUAUAUAUUUAUUUUUUUAAAUAUUUUAACAACAGUGUAACCAAUAAUUUCAUUACAUUUAAAUAAAAAUAUCUUUUCCCCACCCUUGAAAACUUCAAUCAAGACUUCAUAAAAGACCAGGCCCCCUUGUUAGUUUACAAAAAAAGGGAGCUUCGGAAAUGGAAGUGGAGUCUGUCUUGCUUGCUUUGCUGUUGAUAAAUGCCCUUGCGUUUUCGCAGCUUAAUCUGGCAGUUGAGGCGGCUGAGUCUGUUCCUCUAUCACCAUCGGAUGAUUUCUCGAAAGAGUUGAAAGCUUUGUCUAGGAGGAGUCGGCGAAUAACUCCACCAUCACCCAGGAUUAAUGCUCCUGUUCACUUCAAAAGGCCUCCUCUAUUACCUCGACCUCCUCCGCCGCCACGGUCACCACCACCUCCAUGUCUGUGGCGUCCACCUACUCCGUUUGGAUAAGACGAUUGUUUCCCAGAUUUCACACAAUUGAUGAAGCUCUCAUGUCAUCAGCUUUUGUUUGUAAAUUGUAAAACUUUAAAGUGCUUGUAUGUUAGCAGCAAAUACCAGCUUUGUUUAGCUCUAAUAAUAAUUAAAUUUGUAAUGAUAAAAAUAAUAAUAUGUUAAAUACAAAAAUGAAUAAAUGUAUGCAUCACUUUCACUUAAACACUCGUUAAGAAAUUGUUUAAUAAGUAUCCCUUGUCUUCCCUUCCCAUCUCUUUGAAGUCUCCCGACCAUCUCUAUAUGCAGCAUAAAUGAUGAGCAGCUCCCCAUCAACGAGGACCUGGGUCCUCAAAGGCCAACUAAAAAACAACAAUCUCUACGUCUAUGGAGCCUGGACUGCAGAAACUGAGAAACCUCCAAUUCCAAGCUCCCUGGUUCGGUGCGAAGGGCAUUAAAUACCCAACUACCAUAUUUAUAUUGGCCACUCCACUCUAGAGGUGAUCAUGAACCGGG